rnacentral:sRNA from 1 species
GCUGGGUGCAUUGGCACACGCCUGUAAUCCCAGCAGCUCAGGAGGCAGAGGCAGGAGGAUCUUGAGUUCAAAGCUGGCCUCAGCAAUUUAGCGAGGCCCUAAGCAGCUCAGUGAGACCCUGUUUCUA